rfam:Macaca mulatta chromosome 20, whole genome shotgun sequence.
ACUUUUAAAGGAUUGGAGUCAUCCACUGGACUUAGGAACCAAAAACAUUGGUGCAACUCCAAAUAAAAGUA